rfam:Streptococcus suis 05ZYH33, complete genome.
AAUAGUCUUCAAGGCAGGGUGAAAUUCCCGACCGGCAGUGUAAAACGUGGUAAUUUGUUUUACGACUAAGCAGCGAAUCGAAGACCAUACUGAAUGUAUGUCGAGAUGAGCUAACGCAGUUUUAGAACAAAAUAGACCGUUGGUAGUCUGCGAGCGAAAGCUGAUGUGGUGCAAUUCCACAACCGACAGUAAAGUCUGGAUGGGAGAAGACGAAG